CCUACGGGAGACUGCAGUGAGGAAUAUUGGUCAAUGGGCGCGAGCCUGAACCAGCCAAGUAGCGUGAAGGAUGACUGCCCUACGGGUUGUAAACUUCUUUUAUAAAGGAAUAAAGUGAGGCACGUGUGCCUUUUUGUAUGUACUUUAUGAAUAAGGAUCGGCCAACUCCGUGCCAGCAGCCGCGGUAAUACGGAGGAUCCGAGCGUUAUCCGGAUUUAUUGGGUUUAAAGGGAGCGUAGAUGGGUUUUUAAGUCAGUUGUGAAAGUUUGCGGCUCAACUGUAAAAUUGCAAUUGAUACUGGCUGCCUUGAGUACAGUUGAGGUAGGCGGAAUUCGUGGUGUAGCGGUGAAAUGCUUAGAUAUAACGAAGAACUCCGAUUGCGAAGGCAGCCUACUAAACUGCCACUGACAUUGAUGCUCGAAAGUGUGGGUAUCAAACAGGAUUAGAUACCCGUGUAGUC
rnacentral:rRNA from 1 species